rfam:Mesocricetus auratus contig029398, whole genome shotgun sequence.
GGAGAUAUGGCUCAGUGGUUAAGAGCACCAGCUGCUCAUCCAGAGGACCUGGGUUCAAUUCCCAGCAUCCACA